rnacentral:rRNA from 1 species
UACGUAGGUGGCAAGCGUUGUCCGGAAUUAUUGGGCGUAAAGAGCUCGUAGGCGGUUUGUCGCGUCUGCUGUGAAAGCCCGGGGCUCAACCCCGGGUGUGCAGUGGGUACGGGCAGGCUGGAGUGCGGUAGGGGAGAUUGGAAUUCCUGGUGUAGCGGUGGAAUGCGCAGAUAUCAGGAGGAACACCGAUGGCGAAGGCAGAUCUCUGGGCCGUAACUGACGCUGAGGAGCGAAAGCAUGGGGAGCGAACAGG